CUUUUCUCAGCCUACUUAUAUGAAGUGUUAGGAUACUGUCAGGGGUUUUAUCUCUAUUUUGUUACCUGUGAGAAGGUUCAUUGCAAGUGUCUUUCCCUGCCAGCUCCUCACUGCACAGCUUCCACAGAGGCCUGCAGGCAAGUGGAACAAAACAAUCUGCUCUUCCCCAGCACUGUGUGGAGUCCUAAAUAACCUGGAUGGGUCAGGGGAUCUUAACACUUCUCCCAGCUUCCUUCCUUCAGCAAUCUUAGAAAAUGCGUUCAAAGCCACAGAAGCAAAUAAUGCUGGUGGUAAGUUUGUUUUUUGGGAGGCUGUACUGUGAAUUGCUGAAGAUGAGGAGAGCUGCACCAAUAAAAAUCCCCAG